rnacentral:rRNA from 1 species
CAUGCAAGUCGAACGAGAAAGUCCAUUUCGGUGGGCGAGUAAAGUGGCGCACGGGUGAGUAACGCGUAGGUAACUUGCCCCGGGGCGAGGGACAACCUGUGGAAAGGCGGGCUAAUACCUCAUAAGACCACGUGCUACAAGGUGCGGGGUUAAAGAUAGUCUCUCCCUGGAAGCUAUCACCCUGGGAAAGGCCUGCGUACCAUUAGCUAGUUGGUAGGGUAACGGCCUACCAAGGCGACGAUGGUUAGCUGAUCUGAGAGGAUGGUCAGCCACACUGGAACUGAGACACGGUCCAGACUCCUACGGGAGGCAGCAGUGAGGAAUUUUGCGCAAUGGGCGAAAGCCUGACGCAGCGACGUCGCGUGGAGGAAGAAGGCCUUCGGGUCGUAAACUCCUGUCAGAGGAGAAGAAGCCCCGAGCAAUCGGGGUUGACGG